GAAAUGCGAUAAUUAAUGUGAAUUGCAGAAUUCAGUGAAUCAUCGAGUCUUUGAACGCACAUUGCGCCCCCUGGUAUUCCGGGGGGCAUGCCUGUCCGAGCGUCAUUGCCGCCCUCCAGCACGGCUUGUGUGUUGGGCUUCCGUCCCUGGCAACGGGGACGGGCCCAAAAGGCAGUGGCGGCACCAUGUCUGGUCCUCGAGCGUAUGGGGCUUUGUCACCCGCUCCCGUAGGUCCAGCUGGCAGCUAGCCUCGCAACCAAUCUUUUUAACCAGGUUGACCUCGGAUCAGGUAGGGAUACCCGCUGAACUUAAGC
rnacentral:misc_RNA from 1 species